CACUAUCGUUAACUGAAUACAUAGGUUAACGAGGCGAACCGGGGGAACUGAAACAUCUAAGUACCCCGAGGAAAAGAAAUCAACCGAGAUUCCCCCAGUAGCGGCGAGCGAACGGGGAGCAGCCCAGAGUCUGAAUCAGCUUGUGUGUUAGUGGAACGGUCUGGAAAGUCCGACGGUACAGGGUGAUAGUCCCGUACACCAAAAUGCACAGGCUGUGAACUCGAAGAGUAGGGCGGGACACGUGGUAUCCUGUCUGAAUAUGGGGGGACCAUCCUCCAAGGCUAAAUACUCCUGACUGACCGAUAGUGAACCAGUACCGUGAGGGAAAGGCGAAAAGAACCCCGGCGAGGGGAGUGAAAAAGAACCUGAAACCGUGUACGUACAAGCAGUGGGAGCACCUUCGGGUGUGACUGCGUACCUUUUGUAUAAUGGGUCAGCGACUUAUAUUCUGUAGCAAGGUUAACCGUAUAGGGGAGCCGCAGGGAAACCGAGUCUUAACUGGGCGUUAAGUUGCAGGGUAUAGACCCGAAACCCGGUGAUCUAGCCAUGGGCAGGUUGAAGGUUGGGUAACACUAACUGGAGGACCGAACCGACUAAUGUUGAAAAAUUAGCGGAUGACUUGUGGCUGGGGGUGAAAGGCCAAUCAAACCGGGAGAUAGCUGGUUCUCCCCGAAAGCUAUUUAGGUAGCGCCUCGUGAAUUCAUCUUCGGGGGUAGAGCACUGUUUCGGCUAGGGGGUCAUCCCGACUUACCAACCCGAUGCAAACUACGAAUACCGAAGAAUGUUAUCACGGGAGACACACGGCGGGUGCUAACGUCCGUCGUGAAGAGGGAAACAACCCAGACCGCCAGCUAAGGUCCCAAAGUCAUGGUUAAGUGGGAAACGAUGUGGGAAGGCACAGACAGCCAGGAUGUUGGCUUAGAAGCAGCCAUCAUUUAAAGAAAGCGUAAUAGCUCACUGGUCGAGUCGGCCUGCGCGGAAGAUGUAACGGGGCUAAACCAUGCACCGAAGCUGCGGCAGCGACACUAUGUGUUGUUGGGUAGGGGAGCGUUCUGUAAGCCUGCGAAGGUGACCUGUGAGGGUUGCUGGAGGUAUCAGAAGUGCGAAUGCUGACAUAAGUAACGAUAAAGCGGGUGAAAAGCCCGCUCGCCGGAAGACCAAGGGUUCCUGUCCAACGUUAAUCGGGGCAGGGUGAGUCGACCCCUAAGGCGAGGCCGAAAGGCGUAGUCGAUGGGAAACAGGUUAAUAUUCCUGUACUUGGUGUUACUGCGAAGGGGGGACGGAGAAGGCUAUGUUAGCCGGGCGACGGUUGUCCCGGUUUAAGCAUGUAGGCUGGUUGUCCAGGCAAAUCCGGAUAAUCAAGGCUGAGGUGUGAUGACGAGGCACUACGGUGCUGAAGUAACAAAUGCCCUGCUUCCAGGAAAAGCCUCUAAGCAUCAGGUAACAUCAAAUCGUACCCCAAACCGACACAGGUGGUCAGGUAGAGAAUACCAAGGCGCUUGAGAGAACUCGGGUGAAGGAACUAGGCAAAAUGGUGCCGUAACUUCGGGAGAAGGCACGCUGGUGUGUAGGUGAAGUCCCUGCGGAUGGAGCUGAGACCAGUCGAAGAUACCAGCUGGCUGCAACUGUUUAUUAAAAACACAGCACUGUGCAAACACGAAAGUGGACGUAUACGGUGUGACGCCUGCCCGGUGCCGGAAGGUUAAUUGAUGGGGUUAUCCGUAAGGAGAAGCUCUUGAUCGAAGCCCCGGUAAACGGCGGCCGUAACUAUAACGGUCCUAAGGUAGCGAAAUUCCUUGUCGGGUAAGUUCCGACCUGCACGAAUGGCGUAAUGAUGGCCAGGCUGUCUCCACCCGAGACUCAGUGAAAUUGAACUCGCUGUGAAGAUGCAGUGUACCCGCGGCAAGACGGAAAGACCCCGUGAACCUUUACUAUAGCUUGACACUGAACAUUGAGCCUUGAUGUGUAGGAUAGGUGGGAGGCUUUGAAGCGUGGACGCCAGUCUGCGUGGAGCCAACCUUGAAAUACCACCCUUUAAUGUUUGAUGUUCUAACGUUGGCCCCUUACCGGGGUUGCGGACAGUGUCUGGUGGGUAGUUUGACUGGGGCGGUCUCCUCCCAAAGCGUAACGGAGGAGCACGAAGGUUAGCUAAUCCUGGUCGGACAUCAGGAGGUUAGUGCAAUGGCAUAAGCUAGCUUGACUGCGAGCGUGACGGCGCGAGCAGGUGCGAAAGCAGGUCAUAGUGAUCCGGUGGUUCUGAAUGGAAGGGCCAUCGCUCAACGGAUAAAAGGUACUCCGGGGAUAACAGGCUGAUACCGCCCAAGAGUUCAUAUCGACGGCGGUGUUUGGCACCUCGAUGUCGGCUCAUCACAUCCUGGGGCUGAAGUAGGUCCCAAGGGUAUGGCUGUUCGCCAUUUAAAGUGGUACGCGAGCUGGGUUUAGAACGUCGUGAGACAGUUCGGUCCCUAUCUGCCGUGGGCGCUGGAGAAUUGAGGGGGGCUGCUCCUAGUACGAGAGGACCGGAGUGGACGCAUCACUGGUGUUCGGGUUGUCAUGCCAAUGGCACUGCCCGGUAGCUAAAUGCGGAAGAGAUAAGUGCUGAAAGCAUCUAAGCACGAAACUUGCCCCGAGAUGAGUUCUCCCUGAGACUUUAAGUCUCCUGAAGGAACGUUGAAGACGACGACGUUGAUAGGCCGGGUGUGUAAGCGCAGCGAUGCGUUGAGCUAACCGGUACUAAUGAACCGUGAGGCUUAACCUU
rnacentral:rRNA from 1 species